rnacentral:tRNA from 1 species
CGGGGUGUAGCGUAACGGCAUCGCGCUUGGUUUGGGACCAAGAGGUUCCCAGUUCGAAUCUGGGCACCCCGA